rnacentral:rRNA from 1 species
GACGAACGCUGGCGGCGUGCUUAACACAUGCAAGUCGAACGGAAAGGCCCGGCUUUUGUUGGUUGCUCGAUUGGCGAACGGGUGAGUAACACGUGAGUAACCUGCCCUUGUCUUUGUGAUAACUUCUGGAGACUGGGGCUAAUACCGGAUAUGAUCUCCUGCUGCAUGUUGUGGGUUGGAAAGUUUCGGCGGUUGGGGCUGUACUCGCAGCUUAUCAGCUUGUUUGUGGGGUAGUUGCUUACCAAGGCUUUGACGGGUAGCCGGCCUGAGAGGGUGAACGGCCACAUGGGGACUGAGAUAGGGACCAGAAUCGUACGGGAGGCAACAGGGGGGAAUAUUGCAGAAUGGGCGGAAGCCAGAUGCAGAAACCCCGGGUGCGGGAUGACGGGUUUCGGGUUGAAAACAGAUUUCGCAUGUGAUGAAGAGUGCGUGACGGUAAUGGGUAAAGAAGCAACGGCUAACUACGUG